rnacentral:rRNA from 1 species
UAAGGAAUAUUGGUCAAUGGACGCAAGUCUGAACCAGCCAUGCCGCGUGAAGGAUGAAGGUCCUCUGGAUUGUAAACUUCUUUUAUCUGGGACGAAAACGGGAUUUUUAUCUCAAUUGACGGUACCAGAGGAAUAAGCACCGGCUAACUCCGUGCCAGCAGCCGCGGUAAUACGGAGGGUGCGAGCGUUAUCCGGAUUUCCUGGGUUUAAAGGGUGAGUAGGUGGGCUUAUAAGUCAGUGGUGAAAUCUCCGAGCUUAACUUGGAAACUGCCGUUGAUACUAUAGGUCUUGAAUUAUCUGGAGGUAAGCGGAAUAUGUCAUGUAGCGGUGAAAUGCUUAGAUAUGACAUAGAACACCAAUUGCGAAGGCAGCUUACUACAUAUAAAUUGACGCUGAGGCACGAAAGCGUGGGGAUCAAACA